rnacentral:rRNA from 1 species
GCUGCCCGCCCGUACGCGACCCCAGGUCAGGCGGGGCUACCCGCUGAGUUUAAGCAUAUCAAUAAGCGGAGAAAAGAAACUAACGAGGAUUCCCC